CAGCUUUGAGACACUCCCCUUCUCGGCGGAGAGGUACUUCCAUGCGUAUCAUGCGCCCAGUAUCCCAGGCUGAUCCUGAUCAUCCUGCAGAUGGUCACGACAGUCAUGAAGGCUCAUCAGUUCGCAGUAAGAAAGGUGCAAGUUUUCGAAGCAGAAGAGCAGUUGUUGGGAGAGUACCAGGUG